CCCAAACUGGCCCUUAAGCAUCCCUGUUGAGCUGUUCCUCCCUCCCGCCCUCUGGUUAAAUUCAUAUUUUACCUAUACAUUUUUAGUUUAGACGAUCAAUCUCUUCAACGAAUCAUGGAGACUCGUCUUCUUGAGUGGUUUACUCUCCCCAUUAACGAUCCCUGCAACCCACAAACCCGCCUCCGAACCCUAGCCUCUGCGAGAGCCCUAUUCGCCAACCCUAAUUCCUCCGACUCUACUCUCCGCGCGGCCAUUGACGCUCUCUGCCGUUUUCUUUACCCUGGCAACGCCGAUUUCACCUUCUCCCGCUGCGUUGUUAAGUUCUUAGGCGACGCUGCGCCUCUCUACGGAACCUUCGCACCCUCAAUCAUCGAACUUCUUCGACCUUUUCUUGAUGGCAACGAAAAGCUUGCGGCAGAUGCGCUUUCUGCCCUCGCUUCUGUGGAUGGCUUUUUACUGGACGAAGUUCUAGUGCUUUCUCUUGCUUCGAGCCCGCUUCUCUCUGUCAGGUCGAUGCUUGUAAAGUUGAUAGUUUCUUGUUUGGAAGGGAAUAUGAGAAAUAUCGUGGUUAUUAAACCGCAUGUUAUGAUUCAAGUGCUGCUAGGGUUCGCUGAGGAUCUCCAUCCACUGAUAAGGGCAAAAGCAGUUGAUGGCCUUGCUUCAGUGUGCCGGACAACUGAUUCUGUUCAGUACGUGAAAUGCUUCCAUGAUUUUGCUGCAUCAUUUCUACGUGAUGACGAGGAAUUAGUAAGAUUGUCUGCUGUUAGAUUGAUUAGUGCAUGCGGUCAAUUUUUAGCGCGAAAUAAAGGGGAUACGCAUUAUUGCGAGCUGAUGGACGCAAUCUUUGUUCAGCUUUGUGUAAUGGCAAGAGAUAUGAAUAUGAAGGUGAGGGUUGAAGCUUUUUCUGCCAUGGGAAAAGUACAAGGCGUCUCAGAGAACAUGCUAUUACAAUCCUUGUCUAAGAAAAUCUUGGGAACUCAGAACAUUGAAAAUACUCUUGUUGAACAUACUCUAAGAAAUUCUAAAUUUCCUUUCUCUUCCUCAGCAGGAGCUUUUGUGCAUGGAAUUGAGGAUGAGUUCCAUGAGGUGCGAAUGGUCGCAUGCAAAUCAAUUGGGAUUCUCUGCAUUCUCUCUAUCCACUUCUCAGCUGCUGCAUUGGAUUUAUUGUUGGACACUUUAAAUGACCACACAGUAGCUGUUCGUCACCAGGCUUUGGAAACAUUGCAUCAAAUGGCAGCAAAUGAUUGUUUGAUUAUUCAGGAAAAACAUAUGCAUAUGUUUCUUAGUUUGUUAAAUGAUGUCGGUGCCAUAACCAGAUUGGCCACAAGAAAACUCCUGCUGUUUGUGAAGCUUCCUAAACUAGAGAUAUUUAAAGCUGCAAUAAACUCUCUUCUUACAAACCUGGAAAGACAUGCGGAGGAAGAGGAAGAUGUUUUCUUUGUUUUGUUCUGUAUCGGUAUUAGUAAUGCAAAAUUUGCAUUGAAGCUAGCAGAGGAGUUUGCAUCACUGGUUCAACCAUUUAGUGAGGGAGAACUGAGUUUGGAUUCUCCAUGGGCAGUUGGACAUUUGGUGCUAAUUAUCUCAUCUACUUUUUCGAAUAAACAGAAUAUUAAUGAUAUUCCAACUGUUCUAUUUUUGUAUGCAGUUCCUUUAGCUGGAAGAAUCUCCCGGUCAUUGGGAGGCUUUGUUAGCCAGUCCUUUCUUUCGAACUAUUUGUGUAAUCUAAGUGGAAUUCAUUUUUCAUUUGGAAUACCUAUGUCUGAAGAGACUAAAUUAACAGCUAUGAAACUUGAGGAAACUCUUGCAGAUGCUUUGAAUUGCAGAGACAAACCUUGCGACUCAUUUUUGCUUUUUCAUGAUGAAAAUAUGAAGAGUAAGUUCAAGGAGGAUAGGUUAGAACUCUGUCGAGCAUCAACUUUAUCUGAACAAUUUCUGCAGAGUGGAGGGGAAAUGGAUGAUAGAUUGACACAGAAUAUUAAAUUUAUUUUGGGAAAAGUGCAAGAAACAUGGUCUCUUAUUCAUUCUCAUUGCAUUCCUGUUGCACUAAGGAUCCUAAGGGCUUGCAAGGAAGAAUUGGAUUUUAUUUAUUUGGAUAUCAAUGAAUCUGAAUCAGGCCUUGUUGCAUUUGGACUGGAGUAUGUGCAGCUUAUCAUGCUGUUUGCUGAAAUCUGGCAGCAAAUACAUGUAAAGAGUUUCCAUGUGACUGCAAUGGCUGCCUUUGAUAUUCUGAUAGAAAAACUCGAUGCUUCUCUGAGACGAAUUAAAUAUUGUUUCUUGGGUUUAUCAACCGAGGAAGAAUCCCAUCUCUUAGAGCUGAUCCUGGUCAGUCAUGUCCUUCGACUGCAUAAGUUUGGAAACUUCUCGCCCGACAUAUUGAAGAGAAUAAAUUCCACAAUAUCUCAUUUGCAAAUUCUUGGCAAAGAAGGAUCGAAUAUAUCUGCUUUUGUUAAAGAGGUGAGAAAGUUAUCUACCGAAGAGGAGACGGAUGAAUCCUCUCCAGAAUUUCAUGUUGAUAGGUUGCUUCAAUUUUUCCACCUUAGAUUGAUACCAUUCUGUGGGAAGUUUGAGCACAUCAAAGCUGAUUUGAUGACCUUUGGUAAUAACUCUGAGAAAUCUCUUCGUUUUGUUUCAAGGUUGCCGGUUGGCAUCACAUUUGAUGUUGUUCUGUACAAUACCUCACUAAUGGAGAGAGUGUGGCUCCAAAUGGCUGUUGGUGAUGUGUUUCAGUACAUAUUUAUAGAUGUUUGUAAAUUUAGAGUAUGUGAUAAUGUGAGAAAGUGCACUUUGACUAUUCCAUUUUAUGCAACCCCAAGAGCAGCAUCAUUUGUAUUGAGGGCGUGCAUAUGUCUGGAGUUUCCAGAUGGUGAUGUGUUAAAUCUGAAGAGAAAAAUUGGUGGACCAAAACGUGAGAUCAUUCAAAUUUCUCAGGAAACUGAUGUUUACUUCACCGGGAUUGGUUGCAGCUGAUCAUGCAAACAGUGCUUUAGGAGUUCAUGCCUUGUUUUUACAAUAAAAAGAAAACACCUUCAUCCUGAAUUGAUGCUGUGUGGCUUUUCUCUUUGCCAGUGAAAUUUAAUUGGUCAUAUUUGAAGGCUGAAUAUUUUGAUUAUGCUGCCAUUGAAGCCAAGGAUGAAUGUUAUUCCUCACAAAUGACGGGAAAGCAUAUACCACUGAAGUUAUGAUUGCUAAAAAUGUGCUCUGGUGCAAUCAUAUCGGAAUGUAACCAAUUAUGCAGAUUUCUUUUGGAGCCAUACAUGAAAACUUUUUGGAACUCCCCGUUCAGUUCUAUGCUGCAAUUGAAGCGCGGAGAAGAGAAUUAUAACUCCUCCAGGAAGGCGCUUCUGCGGAUGCUUCUUUGGGAUGCAAUUCUGACUGCUCGGAGACCGUCGAACUGAUAGACUCUGGCUUUGUAAAACAUCAAUUAGUUUUGGCUUCGGUGCGACCUCAAUGGUGAUAAGAAAGCUACCAUGUCAGCUCUUGGCAUUAUCUAUCUUUCGAAGUGGUGCUCUUUUCUUCAGCUUGAAAUUUUUCUUACAAGGUGCCCAUAUAACUAUUUAUGUAGAUAUGCUUAUUGUCAUUUGAACAGAAAAAUGACGUCUCUAAUGUUGUCACCACGGCACUGAGCCAUUACUGAGCAUGAUAUCUUAUUUAUUUUUCUUCCUUUGUUUUUUCA